UGUUACACUUAGAGUUGUGAUGCGCUUUGACUUUUGAAAAGUGAAGACGUUGAAGACCGACUUUGAAAGAUAUUCUGUGGAUAUUACGGAGUUAACAGAAGACUGAGAUGGAGGAACAUGAAGAACAGGGCGGCAGUCGUCAGGUGUAGGCAAAUCAUUUAUAGACAGGACAGAGGACGCAGCUCAGAUGAAUCUCCGGAAAGAACUGAACAUCGCAGAGAAUGUGGAACUGCACGAAGGUUUUUAACGACGCCUCGCUUCGAUGUCCCGACAUAAACUUGGAAACCGACAUCAAGCACUAUGGCUGCUGUGGCACGGAAGCAGUGUGGUGUGUAGGUCUUAAUGCACUUUGACGACUUAUCGCCCAUACAUCCUGUGAAUGACCUUUUUGCUAAAGCCUAAUGUCAUCGUCUAGCAGUAGGUACAAUUCCGCAUCACCGAUGACCAGGGUGAAGUUGUAGCAGACGAAAUUUUAGACAUACAUUAGGCCUAGUAGGCUAGUAACUAAAGACAUUGUUUACAGAAAUGCUUUUAUCAAUUAUUGAUGAAAGUCCACUGCUUGGAAUACAAAUAAAACCGUAAAUACAUUU